GAUGAAGAACGCAGCGAAAUGCGAUACGUAAUGUGAAUUGCAGAAUACAGUGAAUCAUCGAGUCUUUGAACGCACAUUGCGCCCCCUGGUAUUCCGGGGGGCAUGCCUGUCCGAGCGUCAUUGCUGCCCUCAAGCACGGCUUGUGUGUUGGGCCUCCGUCCUCCUCCCGGGGGACGGGCCCGAAAGGCAGCGGCGGCACCGCGUCCGGUCCUCGAGCGUAUGGGGCUUCGUCACCCGCUCUUGUAGGCCCGGCCGGCGCUUGCCGACACAUCAAUCUUUUUUCCAGGUUGACCUCGGAUCAGGUAGGGAUACCCGCUGAACUUAAGCAUAUCAAUAAGCGGAGGA
rnacentral:misc_RNA from 1 species